ensembl:lncRNA novel transcript
GGGGCGCCUGUGGGAGCCGUGGAGGGAACUUUCCCAGUCCCCGAGGCGGAUCCGGUGUUGCAUCCUUGGAGCGAGCUGAGAGCUCGAGUACAGAACCUGCUAAGGCCAUCAAACCUAUUGAUCGGAAGUCAGUCCAUCAGAUUUGCUCUGGGCCGGUGGUACCGAGUCUAAGCACUGCGGUGAAGGAGUUAGUAGAAAACAGUCUGGAUGCUGGUGCCACUAAUAUUGAUCUAAAGCUUAAGGACUAUGGAGUGGAUCUCAUUGAAGUUUCAGGCAAUGGAUGUGGGGUAGAAGAAGAAAACUUCGAAGGCUUAACUCUGAAACAUCACACAUCUAAGAUUCAAGAGUUUGCCGACCUACCUCAGUGAUGUCACCAUUUCUACCUGCCAUGUAUCGGCGAAGGUUGGGACUCGACUGGUGUUUGAUCACUAUGGGAAAAUCAUCCAGAAAACCCCCUACCCCCACCCCAGAGGGAUGACAGUCAGUGUGAAGCAGUUAUUUUCUACGCUACCUGUGCACCAUAAAGAAUUUCAAAGGAAUAUUAAGAAGGUACAGUAAAUUAAUCCUGGUUUUCAAGAAUAUUGGUUAAUGCACAUGAGCAAAAGAUUUACUAAAGAUGUUUAUUCUUCAGUUGAUUCCCUUCCCCUAAUUUAUUGAGAAAUGCUUUAUUUGCAUUUCUCAUUAAAGACUUAACUUCAGAA